rnacentral:rRNA from 1 species
AUUGAACGCUGGCGGCAUGCCUAACACGUGCAAGUCGAACGGGGGUAGCGAUACCCUAGUGGCGGACGGGUGAGGAACGCGUAGGAAUUGGCCCACGAGUGGGGGACAACCUGGGGAAACCCAGGCUAAUACCGCAUACGCUCGCGAGAGGAAAGCGGGGGAUCUACGGACCUCGCGCUGGUGGACAAGCCUACGUCCGAUUAGCUAGUUGGCAGGGUAAAAGCCUACCAAGGCGACGAUCGGUAGCUGGUCUGAGAGGAUGAUCAGCCACACUGGGACUGAGACACGGCCCAGACUCCUACGGGAGGCAGCAGUGGGGAAUAUUGGGCAAUGGGCGCAAGCCUGAUCCAGCCAUCCCGCGUGAAGGAUUAAGGCCCUCUGGGUUGUAAACUUCUUUUCUCUGGGAAUAAAAAGUGGGGUUCUCCCUACCUUGAAGGUACCAGAGGAAUAAGCACCGGCUAACUCCGUGCCAGCAGCCGCGGUAAU